CCAGGCCACAACAAUGGCCGCCGGCAAUGUCCCAGUUCCUGGAGAGGUCUCACCUCUCACUAAGAUGCACUCAGAGCCUAUCAGAGUUUGGUUGAUCUUGCAGGCUGGGAAAGAGCUGAACAAACAGGUGCUGAAGGUGUGAAACUCAAGGAAGGCUGUAAUAUAAAUCGUAGCUUAUUUGUUUUGCGACAAGUGAUCAAGAAACUUAGUGAUGGACAAGAUGGUUUGCCAGAACUGCUCAGUCUAUGAAGAAUACCCCUUAUGUUAAUGAGGUAUCAAGUGAUGAAGCUCUCCUGGAAAGAUAUAGAAAAGAAAUAAUUGAUCUUAAAAAACAGUUAGAGGAGGAGAAAAAAGAGCUGCGACAAUUGUUAGAGUGUGUUACCACAGAAAAGGAGCAACUGAAGACUGACCUGAGGGAGAGUACUGACAGGGUGAGUUCAGCACCGGGUACUUGGUAGUGUGUUUUUAUC